rnacentral:lncRNA from 1 species
GGUCCAGAAACAGCUACAGACCAAAGAAGAGCUAAAAUACAACACCUGUAAGUGCAAAUCCAUGUUCUGAAGGACGACCUCAGAGCUAAGGCUGAGCACUUCAAUAGCUAAUAAUGAAUCAAAGCACUCCUGCACAAGGACAGGGCUAGAUGUGCAAAAGUUAACAGGAUCCAGCAGAUCAGCUGCUCAUGUGGCACUCAAAGACACUCCCAAAAAGACACUCCAGCAAAGGUGUCCCAAAACACCAGAGUAUACACCACACUUUUGGAUCCUUGGUGUCAUGAUGGUGCAUGUCACAUCUUGAUUGUUCAAUCCCUGGGACACUUGCAGUGGAGCUGUGGUUUUUUCCCAAUGCAGGUUUGACACAGGGUGCCAAUCCCCAAGCUUUGACCAAAGUCUGAAUUUUUUCAAACUCAGCUGUGUUUGCAUUCAGGAGUUGGAGAAGAGCAUUAAACAGUCUGCAUGAGAGUGUUAAUCACAUGGGGGUAACCCUUGCAGUGUCGGAACAUCCAGCCACUGCCAGUGCUGAGCCUCUGAGUCCUUGACCUGCAUCCAACUAAGCCAGUCUCCUUGAGCAGACCAAGUGGAUGCCUGUCAGUGGGCUUGCCUCACAGGAGAGCAGUUACCAUCAUCAAAAAGGGGGGUGUCAGGGUGGAUUUACAGCAUUUUCUAAACUGAGAGCUGUCUGAAACGUGGGCUCACAUGAGAGAACACGAAGCCCUGGGUCCUACAGAGCAGGAAGCCUGUUGGAAUGGUCCUGAUCUUGCUCGCCUGCAGCCAUCCCUGAGGGCAUGUACCCUGAAGCCAACCUUGUUAUCUGCAAUGCUGCCAGGAGGCAAACUUAAACACCCAUCAGGAAAACCUGCAUCUGCAGCAAGACUUUCUCUGCUUAUUCAUUGGCUGUGAUGAACAAUGAAGCGGAACCCAAACACUUUGAAGGAGAUCCUGCAAGUAUUUCAGCCAUGGAUUACUGCCACACUGUCACUGGGCUUCAUUUUUUUGUGUAGCUUCAGCUCUGUUGUUGUCCCUUAUGAAAUAAGUGGUGUUACAGAGCAAUGUCUUUUCAUUUUUGUCUGCUCCUAAAUAAAGUCUGGUUUUACUUCUCA